GAUGAACGCUAGCGGCAGGCCUAAUACAUGCAAGUCGAACGGGAUUGAGGAGCUUGCUCCUCAUGAGAGUGGCGCACGGGUGCGUAACACGUAUGUAACCUACCUUAAUCAGGGGGAUAGCCUCUCGAAAGAGAGAUUAACACCGCAUAAAAUCACACUAUGGCAUCAUAGAAUGAUCAAAUAUUUAUAGGAUUAAGAUGGGCAUGCGGAACAUUAGCUAGUUGGUAAGGUAACGGCUUACCAAGGCUACGAUGUUUAGGGGAUCUGAGAGGAUGGCCCACCACACUAGUACUGAGACACGGACCAGACUCCUACGGGAGGCAGCAGUAAGGAAUAUUGGUCAAUGGACGGAAGUCUGAACCAGCCAUGCCGCGUGCAGGAAGACGGCCCUACGGGUUGUAAACUGCUUUUGUACCGGAAUAAACCUCUUUACGUGUAAGGAGCUGAAUGUACGGUAAGAAUAAGGAUCGGCUAACUCCGUGCCAGCAGCCGCGGUAA
rnacentral:rRNA from 1 species